UAGCUCAACGGUAGAGCAUUUGCCUGAUAAGCUUGAGGCCCUGGAUUCAAUUCCCAG
rnacentral:tRNA from 1 species